AAAAAAUCUGACCUCAUGGUGUUUAACUACUGCUGAAGUAAUAGACUAACUGUAGAGUGUCUCAAAUUCUUACAUUUGUAGAAACACCAUCAACUGCCAUAUGCACAUGGUGUUAUUAAUACCUGUUCAGUCAUAACAUUAGAGUUAUCAUACUACUUUGUACUUAAUUUAUAUGAGGCUUAUUUGUGUAUAUAUAUGUAUAUAGAUACAUUGUGUAUAUAUACAGAUAGUUUUAUGUAUAUUCAGAUACUUUUGCCUGUGUAUAUCAUUUUUAUUCAGUUUUCUGAAUGAAUUUUACUUUUAAAAUUUAUAAAUUCUUUUUGUGAGUUAAAAUGUAAUGUGCUAAGCCACUAUAAUGUGUCAAAUAUAUGUAGUGAAUUUAUAUUAAUUUUCAGGAGUAGAUGUUAACACAUGUAUUAAGAAAAUGUGUUUAAAAUAGUUGGCCUGUAAUAGAUUUUAAAAUGUAUAUGCUUUUAGGAAAAGAGAAAUUAUUUUUGCUGAUAAAAUAUUCAUAUUUAUAGAUUUCAUUUAGUGAUGUGAUCAUUCGAGUGAUGUUGAAUUACCUAAACAUUGUUAAGAAAGGACACUUAUGUGUUUACAUAUCUCUUAUAGAAAUGUAAAAUACAAUAUAUAUUUACAAAUAUGAGUGUAUAGUCUACCAUGAUGUCUUUUCAGCUACUAAAUUAUGAGUGUGACUCAAGCAUAAAACUUAAGGUGUCAAUUUUUUGAAAAUUAUGUAUAUUGUAUAAAGAGCAUGUACUAUCAUUUUAUUUUUCUGGUCACAGAUAUUUGUGUAUAUUUUUCCAAAAGAUACCUCAAAAUUACAUAGGUAUAUAUCCAUCUGAUACCUGGCAAAAUGUAACAUUGUAAGGAAUGAGCUAUUUUUAUCAAACAGCUUGUAUUUCUACAGGUGUAAAUAUCAUGUAAAUGUCAUUGUCUUACAAUUUAUAUGACCAACUGAUAGUUUCUAAGGGGGAAACAUAUAGCUCUGUUUCAUAUUUGUUUGAAUGCCAGAGUAGAAAGUUAAACACUAACAUUUUCUACUCCAUCCUCCUAGGAACCUAGUUGACCUUUUUUUCUACUUUUUGUCAAAUUUCAUGAAGAUUUUGUACUACCUCUUAGGACACUGCAAAGUUUUGUAUGUGUUUCCUGGUUGCAUGACAAUAUUCAAGACAAUUUUGUAAAUAUUGAAAUACAGCAUUUGAAGGUCUUGUCUGUCAAGACGAACAGGAGUGCCACAGGGUAUAAAUUUGAGUACAUCAUUGGAAGCCUUUGCUUCUUUUCAUUUCUGGUUGAGAAUUUAUCACAUUUUGUUUAUUACUUAUUGAUGGUAGAGUAAUAAGAUUUAAUUUUAACUUUGGCUACUUAUCUCAAGAUAAGUCAUCAUUUCCCAUAGGAUAUAAUUAAGGCUUAUGGUACAUGUAAGGGCAUAAAUCUUCAUUCUGUGCCUCUAGUAAUGAUAGACUAUUAAUGUAAAUAUUUCUUUCUAGUCCUUGUAAGAAACAUCUAUUAAAAGAGUUUCUUCUACCUCCUUGAAUUAAUACAUUAUUAUGUUCACAUUGCAUGACAGCUUUCAAGACAAGUUGUAAAUAACUGAUACAUCUUUCCAUUUGAAAAAUGCAUUUUCAGAUGCAUAUUCACAACAAAAGAUAAACCUGUAAAUAUUACAUUUAGUACUACUCAGUGUCUUAAGUAUAAAAUUCUGAGUAAGCUAUUUUUGCUUAGAGAAAAAUUACUUAAAGAAAACUAGAUUUAUUUUCAUGAAAGAUGUGACAAGUAAUUCAAAUUUUGAGUUAAGUUGAGAAUUGCUAAAAGCAUUGUUUCUUGAUUCUAACCAAGGCACACUUGUUUUUUCAUAUGUAAUUAUAUUUUUUUCACAUACAUUAUAGUAGUAAUGUAUAAUGUUUGAUUUUUUUAACCUGUAUUCCAACUUUACAAAUUAUAAAAUAACUUUUAUUUCUAGUUCGCAAUCUCAAUGCUAUUACUAGACACAUUUUGUGAUAAUAAAGAGCCUAUAACUUUGUAAAUUUAUAAUUUUUGCUUUCUGAGAUACGGUUUCAAUACAUAAAAGUUUAAAAAUUGUUUAAUAUUUAUAUAUUUUUCAUCAGAUUAUUAAAGUUGGAUAUCUAUUGUUCCCUCUGACGUACUUUAAGAAAAAGUAGGCUGUAUGAUAUAUAAGGCAAUAUUAGUUACAAAGUAGAGUUCGCCUGUAUGCGGAACACCAACCAGCACCUGCCAAGAGAGACCAUGCGCAGCUGCACCUCCAUUUGCGACAUCCUUGGCUGUCAAGGGCUAUCAAGAUACUGUCAGCAGAAAGUAUGGAAGCAGAAGAACCGAACCCCUCCCUACAGGAACAGAAGUAUAAGAAUAUGUUUUUAUCAUUUCCGUUUCUCAAAUUUAAUAACACAAGGCCUGUAGCUUAAGAUGAUUAUGAUAUAACAUUUAAAAUAUUGUUUUUCAAUAGAAGUGGGGUUUGUGGUAUUGUAAUUGAAGAAAAGAACAAUUUACAUAUAGAUACAUUUUAGUUUUUCAAACUAAGGUAUAUAAUUAAGAAUACUAAUAAUACGUGGGUGGUUGAUUAAGGUAGACAAUGUAUAUCUGCUUUGAGAUUGCCACCUAGAAUAAAUGAAAAAUUUAGGCAAACAGAAAACAUGUUCAAGAAGGAUGUUAAAUUUUUACUACCUCUAAAGAGGAGUAAGACAACUUCUGUCUUUGUAUGUUUUAAGGCCUUUGUUAAUAAGCAUCUUAACAACAAGAAAUAGACCUUUUUUUUCCCAGUAGCUUUGAUUGUCAACAUCCCGGGAGUGAUGGGUUGCCUUAUCCCGAAGUUCUGUUUUUGAAUACUCAAGGAUCUCAUGUGACAGCAAAGAGUAUUGCAUUAGCCACGAGGUCAUGACGACAAACUUCUUAAAUCUACAUUUGUGAUCAACUUUUGGAGUCGAAGACAAAUUACUUUUAAAGUGUUAUCUGCAGCCUAUAGGUAGUCACCAAAAUGGAUAAUCAUUGUUUGUACAAGAUUGCUAAUUGGAAAAAGGUCUAGAAGGUGUGGCGUGAAUGCUCUUACCAAUCAUUAAAAUUGAACUAGCUAUUUGGAUGGAGACUGGAAGAUGUCUUUGAAGACUUUUUUAAAGACUUAGUGUUUCUGAUGGACUAACUCAAGAAAAGUAUGCUGACACUGACAUUAACUUCAGUGUUUUCGGCGCUGCUCAUAAUGACUGCAGGAAUAUUUCCUGUAGUCAAAUUAAUGUUCAUAAUUGUCAAGUUGGAAAAAAUGCAACUUUAAUUUCGUUUGCACCACAUUUAAUAGAUUUAAGUAGGACAGAAUAGAUUAAGUUGAGUCUUCCUAUACUACUUCAAGGAGGAUUCUGGGAUUGCAGUCAUGUAUUACAGCGACAGGUCAUGUGGUUCUGAGGGUCAAACUCAGAGAUUCCUGUGGCUCACCAACUACUCUACCAAUUGAACUACUACAUCCCUAGCUAAAGAAUGCGGUUUGCGUCUAAUCCAGGAAUAGUGUUGCACAACUGUCGUCCCUCGCUCCUUACAACUCAACACAGGGAGGCUGAAGGCCUGAGGCCAGCUUGGCAACUCUGAGACCUCUUCUCCACAUCUCAACAACAAAAAAGGUGGUGACCAUCUUGACAAACACACCAAAAAUACCUUCUGAAAAGGCUUUGUCUACAGGAUCUCCCAAGUACAGUUAUUAAAUUGAUUGUUUUUGGAGUCCCUUAUCAUCUCACAACUUGCACAGGAGACUUCAAUGGAAUAGAAACGACCUGCUUUGGGCAAGUAACUGACUGGAAUGUUCAGUUCUUUUGCUUUCAGUACAUCUUGUAUUCUCAUAUUGUAUGUUACCUAUUUUCUCAUUCAUAUUUCACUUUUUGAGCAGAAGAGACUUUUGUGUGGGGAUUGUACAAUUAAUGUGCACAGAUUUUUUUUAUGAUACUUCAGAUGGUAACAAGGUUUUCAGAGUAAUUGAGUUUCCCUGCACACCAGUUUUGUUAUCAUUUGUGAGACGAUUUCCUCCUCCUUUAAACAAGAAAUGCAGAUUUUAGGCAGGCCCCAAGAAGAUUCUCUUACAUACUGUGUUCUCUAGAGAAGGUCCUCUAGCUGCUGCUUUACUGACAUUAAUGACCUCUGUCUGGGGCAGAAGUACAAGUUUCUGUGGUUUGCCUUUUCUUCAAUACCCCAACUGCAGACGUCAAUGCCAUUGAAACUAUGAAUAUGUAGAGAAAUGCAAGCCUUGCACUGAUGAGGUGACACAUGGGGCUGCUAUCUUGUAGAAUGUGUGGCAUCAUCAUUUUAUCGGUAUCACCCGUCCUUUUAGGUCACUGUAUCAAAGACAUUUGCAUUAUUACACUUGUUCCUGCUUAACCUAAGUGAAGUUAAUAUACAGGACUUUAAAAAAAAAGUAUUAGUUAUUUGCUUCUAGACCAUAAGUCAUGCUGUUCAUUGGGGAAUUACUAUCUGCAUCUCUCAAUAUCUUUUAAUAGUUGUUAAGUGUAAGGACACUUGCCAAGAGUUUUUAAAGUGUGUGUGCAUGUAUGUCUUCAUGUGAGUAUGUUCAUGUUAGGUAUCUGCAGGGGUCAGAAAUGAAUGCAGUCCCCCUAAAGCUGGAGUUAGAGGUGAGCCAUGAUUGCUCAACCCCCAGAUAUUUUAAGAUUAUUUACUAAUUGUUUAAUAGGAGCCAGUAAGAUGUCUCCCUGGAAAAAGAGAUUUCCAUCAAAGCCCCGAUGUAUAUCUCUGGAAGCCAGGUGGGAAAGAAUAUAACAGAGAACAGGAAUCUGUUCUUGUGGUAUAAUAGUACCCAGGGCUAAUUCUUAAACUGCACCCUGGUAAAUAGUUGUGGUGCACAAACCUGGGGCCAGAUUUGAACGCUAGCAGAUGAUUUUUGAUCACUUGGUGUACUGUAUGGUUCAUCCAGAGGCUCUUUGAUAGAUUUUGAAACAGAAGAUACACAAUGCUUUUGCUUGUACUCGAUUCUGAAUCGUCUCCAUCAGCGGGUCUCAAGCUGUGGCUUGUGACCCAUUUGGUAUUCAACAUUCAUUUAACAGGGGUCACCUAAGACUAUUGAUAACAGGGAUUUAUAUUACAAUUCGUAACAGUAGCCAAAUUGCAGAUAUGAAUUAGCAACAAAAAAUAAUUUUAUGAUUGGGAAGUUACCAUAGCAUGAGUAACUGCAUUAAAGGGUCACAUUAUUAGGAAGAUUGAGAAGCACUGAGAUACAUGUUCAAAUAUAUAGUUGUUGAAUGAAAUACUUAAGGCUUUUGGUACUUGGCCCUUCAUAUUUUUUUUUGCAAUUUUUAAAGCUAGGUGUUUUAGUACAUUGAAAUAUCACCAUCAACAAUGAUUAAGGCAUUCUCUGGUCGUUCAUUCUUGAUCUUCUAGCCGUGAUGAGUUAAGCCUUCAUAAUAUAUAUAUAGUAGUUAGUAGCUUUAUUAUGUUUAUGUAAAUUGUAUGUGGCAUUUGUAGAUGUAUGAUCUUUGUAUUAAUGUUUUUAAACUUUCUUUUUUAAUAUAGCACAGAGGUAUUUCCAAACUAGUAGUUUAAGUUUACAAAAACAUGCUUUGCUCUACAUGUGAUAUUGUUGAUGAGAUUGUACAUAAUUAUAUCACUAUGAAAAUAUAUUUGGGUUCGUAAUGAUUUUCUAGGUGUGAAAAUAUUAUAUCAUCAUCUAUGGUUUCUGUCAAUGUUGUGAAAUUGCUCUUAAAGGUUAUCCGGGCUAAGCCAGAGAAGUGGUGUCAUGAAAGUGCUAAUUUUCAUAAAUGUGUUUACUAUGUUUCAAAAACAUUUAAAUCAUAGUCAAUCUAAUCAGUGAAAUCAUGUUUUUAAAACCUAAGCCUACUUUAAAUGUGAAGUGGCCAAGAUCUUACAAAAAUAAGUACAUUUUUAGAUGUAAAAAAAAACUUCAAAUGUCUCCAAAUUUUCCACUUCCUCCUAAAUCCCUUGAGUAUAUACUAUGGUAAUGAGUUUUUUCUUUCUCUUUUAUUUUGAUAAAAUUUUGGGGCUGUAUGCUCUUUAUCUAGUCUUCCUCUCUGCUUUCCUCUCAUGCAUCAUUUCCUUUUUUUUUCCUUCCUGUUCCUCUCAUCUUAUUUCUGCUUAUUUAUGCCAUGUAGUUCUCUGAGCUACAUAUUAGCUGCAGAUAUGAUCUCCUAAUUGUCCAAUAUUUUCCUGCAUGUACAUUAUAAAAGUGUGUGUGUGUGUUCCUUCAAACCUGACUUAAAAUAUAAGAACUCUGAUGUGUUAGUUUUGCUUUAUCAUAUUGCAUUGUAUUAUGCUAAUUAUAUUAUUAUAUUAAUUAUAUCAUAAAAC